CGAACGGAAAGGCCUGCAGCUUGCUGCGGGUACUCGAGUGGCGAACGGGUGAGUAACACGUGGGUGAUCUGCCUUGCACUUCGGGAUAAGCUUGGGAAACUGGGUCUAAUACCGGAUAGGACAGCUGUUUAGUGUCAGUUGUGGAAAGUUUUUUCGGUGCAAGAUGAGCUCGCGGCCUAUCAGCUUGUUGGUGGGGUAAUGGCCUACCAAGGCGUCGACGGGUAGCCGGCCUGAGAGGGUGUACGGCCACAUUGGGACUGAGAUACGGCCCAGACUCCUACGGGAGGCAGCAGUGGGGAAUAUUGCACAAUGGGCGGAAGCCUGAUGCAGCGACGCCGCGUGGGGGAUGAAGGCCUUCGGGUUGUAAACUCCUUUCGACAGGGACGAAGCGUAAGUGACGGUACCUGUAUAAGAAGCACCGGCUAACUACGUGCCAGCAGCCGCGGUAAUACGUAGGGUGCGAGCGUUGUCCGGAAUUACUGGGCGUAAAGAGCUCGUAGGUGGUUUGUCGCGUCGUCUGUGAAAUUCCGGGGCUUAACUCCGGGCGUGCAGGCGAUACGGGCUGACUUGAGUGCUGUAGGGGAGACUGGAAUUCCUGGUGUAGCGGUGAAAUGCGCAGAUAUCAGGAGGAACACCGAUGGCGAAGGCAGGUCUCUGGGCAGUAACUGACGCUGAGGAGCGAAAGCAUGGGUAGCGAACAGGAUUAGAUACCCUGGUAGUCCAUGCCGUAAACGGUGGGCGCUAGGUGUAGGGGGCUUCCACGUCUUCUGUGCCGUAGCUAACGCAUUAAGCGCCCCGUCUGGGGAGUACGCCGCA
rnacentral:rRNA from 1 species